rnacentral:rRNA from 1 species
UACGAAGGGAGCUAGCGUUGUUCGGAAUUACUGGGCGUAAAGCGCGCGUAGGCGGAUCGCUAAGUCAGGGGUGAAAUCCUGGAGCUCAACUCCAGAACUGCCUUUGAUACUGGGGAUCUCGAGUCCGGGAGAGGUGAGUGGAACUCCGAGUGUAGAGGUGAAAUUCGUAGAUAUUCGGAAGAACACCAGUGGCGAAGGCGGCUCACUGGCCCGGUACUGACGCUGAGGUGCGAAAGCGUGGGGAGCAAACAGG